UCUCUUACAUUGUCCCUACAUUUUCAAAGCUCUAUUUGAUAUUAUUGAGUGUGUUAAUAACAUCAUGAAGCUAGGAAGCAUUCUCCUAUUUGUUGCUGCUUUGAUUGCUCUCUUAAACCUUAGCUAUGGAUGUGGUUUAAAGGUGCUCAGGCUCGUCGUUGUAGAUGUGACACUACUGUUAAUACACACACAUGCUCAUGUUGUAUAGUUUGUGGAUUAAAUGGGCAUCAGAAUAAUGACUCUUUUGUAAGUCAAGAUGAUUGCUUAUAAUUAAGAAAAAUUGAUAAAUAAUAACCUCACAUCUUAUUGUAUGAGGUUUUAUA